UUGUUGAGUUCUGCCCAUUUCUUGGCUGUUCGAAUGGAGAAGAAAGAGGAAGGAUGCUGCAUGUUUAAUUUUUGAGCUCAUUUAGGAGUUGGUUCCUUAAGAAACUGCUCAAGAGUAGGUUCGGUUGCUGUUCGAUUGAUAAAAAAAUGAGAUUCGGAACUAGAACGGGGGAAAACAAAGUAUCGGAUUAGUCGACCUAAUUCGUCAUUACAGCAAACGUGAGUUUCAGAGGCUUGCUCGGGUUGGAAGUCGUCAGAGAUCUCAUCACACUAUCCAGCUAUGGUUUGGUAUUUAUAAGCUUUGUGAUAUUGGUUAUAUGGCAUGUAUAGGCUUGAGUCUGUUUGAUAAAGGUUUUGGUGAUGAUUCAAGAUGACCAUUUGGUCAUUUGGUAUAUGAUGAGUAUUUACUUAUAAAAGGCAUGUUUUAAAUAGGUUUGAAUGUGUAAAUGUGUUGGUUUUCAUAUUGAUUG